GCCUGCGUAGCUCAGUGGCAGAGCAAUCCCUUCGUAAGGGGUGGGUCGUCGGUUCGAGUCCGACCGUAGGCU
rnacentral:tRNA from 1 species